rnacentral:rRNA from 1 species
AGUGAACGCUGGCGGUAGGCCUAACACAUGCAAGUCGAACGGCAGCACAGUAAGAGCUUGCUCUUACGGGUGGCGAGUGGCGGACGGGUGAGGAAUACAUCGGAAUCUACUUUUUCGUGGGGGAUAACGUAGGGAAACUUACGCUAAUACCGCAUACGACCUACGGGUGAAAGCAGGGGAUCUUCGGACCUUGCGCGAUUGAAUGAGCCGAUGUCGGAUUAGCUAGUUGGCGGGGUAAAGGCCCACCAAGGCGACGAUCCGUAGCUGGUCUGAGAGGAUGAUGAGCCACACUGGAACUGAGACACGGUCCAGACUCCUACGGGCGGCCGCAGUGGGGAAUGUUGGCCGAUGGGCGCAAGCCUGAUCCAGCCAUACCGCGUGGGUGAAGAAGGCCUUCGGGUUGUAAAGCCCUUUUGUUGGGAAAGAAAAGCAGCAGGUUAAUACCCCGCUGUUCUGACGGUACCCAAAGAAUAAGCACCGGCUAACUUCGUG